AAGUCGUAACAAGGUUUCCGUAGGUGAACCUGCGAACACGUAUCCAACGUUAAACCCCUGUGAACUUUUAGCACUGCUCUUGCAGCCCGUCUUCCUCCAGCAAUCCCUAGUAAAUCAUGGCGAACAGUUUGAUUUAGGGACUUCUGAGUCACGCGGUAGUGCCUUUGGUGAAUUGUCAUCAGAGACCGGCGACGAGAAGGCCCUACGGCUUCACUGGAGGACAUCACGAGAUGCUCGGGUCCCCAUGCCCCCUUACAACCCCAUGUCUCGCAGCCGGGUCGCGAUAAUACGACCUAAAAAUAAAAACCGAACAACUGUUAACAAUGGAUAUCUUGGUUCUC
rnacentral:misc_RNA from 1 species